GCUAGUGAUUAGUCAGGAUCAAUCAGUGGAGAGGAGAUUAAAACUCACAUCUGGGAGUCCGGAAUCAGAACUUGUAGUUCUUUUUUUUGAAAUGGAGUCUCGCUCUGUCGCCCAGGCUGGAGUGCAGUGGCGUGAUCUCGGCUCACUGCAACCUCUGCCUUCCGGGUUCAAGCAAUUCUCCCACCUCAGCCUCCUGAGUAGCUGGGAUUACAGGCGCCCACCACCACAGCCGGCUACUUUUUGUAUUUUUAGGAGAGACGGGGUUUCACCAUGUUGGUCAGGCUGGUCUUGAACUCCUGACCUCAUGAUCCACCUGCCUUAGCCUCCCAAAGUGCUGGGAUUACAGGCGUGAGCCACCAUGCCCAGCCCUAUAGUAGUUCUUCUUUUGCCCCUUAAUAUCUUCACCCACAUGUCCUGUACCCUGCCUGAACCCUCCUCCUCUUUUUGUUCUGAUCUUUGAGCUCCCUAGAGCCCAUAAUUCUUUAGAGCAGGUAUGUCCCGAGUCUGAAACAUGCCCUUAUUUGUCCCAAGCUCUGGACAUUUCUCACCCCAAGGCGGAUCAAUCAUGAUUAAAUCACUCCAAUUAAACUUUAGGCUCCAGUCAGACCUUCAGCCAAAUGGAAAAAAAAACUAGGGGAUAAGGGAGGUAGUUGGAGCAAGAAAAUGUUAUUAGUUGAAACCUUACGGGACCUUCCUCCCUUAGUGAGUCUGUUGGCUAAAGGUUCUCUGGCUUCGUGAAUUAGAAUCGGAUACUGUUUCCAAGUUAGCAAAACCAACUCUACCCCAGCACCCCACGAGGAAGAAUGUGGAAGGAUCUCCCAUUGGCCGGUUGGGGCAAAAGCCUGAGGCAAUCUUUCAUCCCCUUUUGCCAAGGCGAGACUUUCCCAGUGACGGUGAUGUAGUUGGCCACUCUGACUAUGGGUGGACUCGGGUGUAGACCUCUGAAGCUGAGAUCACACGAAAACCUGGCCUCCCCGCCAUGUAGCUGUUGGAGAGUAGAAAAAUAGAGCACGCCUGAUGUUUCUAAAUGAGAAGACUUUCAAUAGUAAUGAAGAAUCCAUGGCACUCUCCUCACCCUCAAACACAUGGCAGUCAUUCACAUACAGGCCCCAAAGCCACUGUUAGUGCUGCAGUAGCUCCUGUGGACAUUGGAAAGCCCGGAGAGGGCGUGGAAGAAAUCAGCUGGCCCCCGGCAGGUUCUCUGGGGUUUUGUGCCCAAGGCUCCUGGAGCCCUAAAAACUUUCAAAAGUUAACUCCCCACGUCCCCAUCCUGCUUGGGUUUCUGGACUUUUCUGAGGCACCGGCAGAGGGGUCUCGUUGCUCCCUUGAGUGUAGGGGCAGCCCUUUAACCUGGCUCCUUGAGUCCCUGCUUUUUCUGCUUCUGUUGCCUUCUUCCUCGUCUUCCUCUCUCUCAAUAUCUCCCUCUCUUUGUCCCUCCCCAGUUCCUGACCUGGCCAUCCCGGGGUGCCCUUGACCAGCCCCGUGUCUCCUCAGGGUGUCCCAGCACCAGCCUGGCACAGAGUGGGGCUCAGUUAGAGUAUGUGGGAUGUUGGUUUCGCCAGGUGAGUGAAUGAAAGGACUCGACCACCACAGCUGAGCCACUAGCUGGGCCAUGCGAAGAGUUCUAGGUGCAAAGGCUGGAGGGUGGAAUUCAUUUUUGAGAGGUGUGUGAGCAGCUUCCGACCCCUGCCCCAUUUGAACGGGGGCCUUGCUGGUCGCGUCCCUGCAUUCACCCGCGCGGCCAUCCCGUCAUCCAACAGUUGAUCCUAACUGAGCACGCCCACGGCCCUGGUCUGGCCUGGGCACCGGCCACCGUAGCCCAUCCCUUGAUGGCCUCUGUGUCCCCAGGAGGGCGGGCCGGGGGGUUGCCCAGGGGCUGGAGCAGUGGACUGUGGCUCCAUAGAGGUAGGCCGGAGGGUGUGAGGGCAGAUUCAAGCUAUCCCCAGGGCUCUGCUCUGGUCGGAGCCAGCCCCUUCUCCCUCUCUGCCUUCCCCGCCCCAUUCCUGAUGCUGAACUGUUCUGGACCCCUGGCCCUGAGUCUCUCAGGACCAAAGUGGGCACGGGAACAGCUGUAGUGUGUGCCCCCCCGGGCUUUGGCCACAGGUCUCCCUCUCGAGGUGUGGUUGUGACUGCGACCCUUCCCUUGCCGUGAUGCCUUCCUCCCCCGGGGCUUGGUCCAGCUCCUUCACUCUCUAGCAGCUGCUGGGGCCCACCUCCCAUGCCGAGGACCAGCAGGGGAAACCUCCAGGGAGCAUCUGCAGGCUCUGCUUCUGCCCGGCUGCUGGCUUGCUCUCCCUGGUGGCUCUCCAGCGGCCAGCUUCCUCACCCACCCGGCACUCCGCUUUGCUCUGUCUCCUGAGGUGGGCCUGACCAACCUCCCCUUCUCUGCCUCAGUCCCUGGGCUCCAGGGCUCAGCUCCACAGCCCUCUGCCUAGCAGGCUGGUUCUCCCUGCCAAGCCCAUACCUGUGGUCACCUGGCCCUCCUGUGGUCUGAGUACCACUCCCCUGCCCCAGGAGCCACUCCCACUCCAGCUGCCUGUUUCCAGCAGGUUCCCAGUGCCCCCGACAAGCCCCUGCUGGUGUCUCCAUCUCCUGCCAAGCAUCCUCCAGUGCCUCCUCCUGUGGGCCUGGCCUCAGGGCUAUGGACAGACUCCUGUCCCAUCCCAGAGACCCCUCGUGAUCGUGCCCUGGUGGGUGUUGCCCCCGCCUGCCUUUGCCUCCGCCGUGGCCCUGAGAGUCCUGGGCUCUGCCCCGCCCGGUCCCUUGCUCCCCACUCAGUUCUGGAUUUGGGGCUGCCCCUAACCCAGCCCGUUGCUGCUUUGCACCUUUUCCUGUCAUUGGGCAUCCCCCAGUAGUCACCCCACUCCACCGAAAAGUAAACUGCAGGUGAGGCCGUGCCCCGAGUCUUUCUUCGGUGUGUUUGGCUUUUCCGGGGCGCUUGCCUUGCCAUGAUUCUAACUCUCUGCCCUUCCCCAAGGCACGUGGGCCGUGGCCCGGCUGGGUCGGCUGAAGAACUGCGGAUGGAAGCUGCGGAAGAGGCCCUGAUGGGGCCCACCAUCCCGGACCCAAGUCUUCUUCCUGGCGGGCCUCUCGUCUCCUUCCUGGUUUGGGCGGAAGCCAUCACCUGGAUGCCUACGUGGGAAGGGACCUCGAAUGUGGGACCCCAGCCCCUCUCCAGCUCGAAAUCGUAAGUGGCUGGAGUGUAAAGAACACACAUGUGGCCUUGCUGCUGAGGGUGGGGCCAGCUGCCCGGAGCACACCGCCAGGCGGACCUCGUGGAGGGGCUGGCGGGCACUGGCCGGGGGUCUGUGCACCGGGAGGUGGGUGCCCAUCGAGUCAAGCCAAGUGCAGACCUGGGGGCUCCUGUUUUCUAAGACAGGAGCCCCCUGCCUCCUUGUGUUGUCUCUGUGGCAAAAGAAUUCUAUAGGCGGGCUUCAAAUGUCGGACCCCAAAAGAAUUUCUUCUUUUUCACUCUUCUAAAUGAAUGGCUCUUUCAUUAUUGAGUCUCCCUUUGGCUCUUGUGCCGCAGGGCAGACUAGGAUGGAAGUGCCCUGUGAGCUGGGGGGCCCUUCAAAGGGCCAAGGAGAAAACGCAGGCCGAGGGACCAGCCUUCCAAAUGGGCUUCAAGCUCCAAUGACCUCCGCUCGCCCCCUCGAAAUGUCUGGAAAACAUAAUGGGCAGAUUUUCUGUCUUCAAAGUUUCCGGCUAAACCUCUUCAAGUUCUUUAUUGUUUGGGACUGAGACACUCAGCCAUGUUAAUGGGUAGUUUCUUUUGUAUUUGCCUUGAAAGGCCAAAAUAUUUUUAUAUUGCCACAGACAAAGCCACCUAUUUAAAAAUGAACUCCAUGUCCGUCGUUUCCCACCAGGAGACUAUGUACCAUGUGUGUGUCUCUAUGUAUUCUGGGGUCUUGAAACAGGUUUCUCAUGGGGAUGGUCAUUCACCACGGUCCAGAGGGGCAGAACAGGCGGCGCUUGCCUUGCCCAGGGGGCCUGGGGAACGUGGGCCCUCAUCUCAGAUCUGCCCCCAGUAUGUUUAGGACGCGAGCCCCAGAAGGAUCUGGGAGUAAACUUAACAUUCACUGUGUCUCUGCUCUGCAUCCGCCAUUUGUGUGUGUUUCUGGACUGUGGGCUGUGUGUACCUUGGUUGGUGACUCAGUGAGAAGAAGCAGGAAUGCCAAAGAUACUGUGAAUGUUCUGAGUUUUGUUGCUGUUGUUGUUGAGAGGUUGUUUCACUGGUAUCUAUUGCAUUGUAUAAUAAAUGACCAGAUGAAUGAAUGAGUGAAGCAAGAGAGAAUGAAUAAACAAGUAAAUAGGUAAAGAAGUAAGCAAGCCAGGAUGAGAGUGUGUGUACACAAGACCAUGGUUCAUCCGCUUUGAUGGCUAGGCAAUCAAUAUAUAAAUAGAAAAAAACCAGUGAAUCACUAAGUAAUAGGGCAACACACAAAGCGAUAUCAGGUGAUUAUGGACUAAGGGGUAUGUGUAACUCAAAUAUAUGCCUCUGACAUUUGACAAUGAAAAAGAACCUAAAUGAAAGAAAGAAUGGAUGUAUGAGUAGUGAAGUGCAGAAUGAGACAUAGAUUUUGAGGCCCGUCAAAAUGAAAAGAUGCAAGUUAGGGAACAAGUGAUCAAAAGGGAGAAGGGAAAGGUUUUUUUUAAAAAACCAAAACAACAAAGAAAGGUUAAAAAAAAAAACAGACUAGAGGAUGAGUAAUGAGUAACUCUGUAAGGAGGACCAUGUCAGACUAUUGUAAGCUAAGCAUUAGGACUGAUACAAAUAAUAUAUGCUCCUGGCAUAGAAAAAUAAACCACAGAGAACGAGUUCAAAGAAUAGCAAAGAAAGAAAGAGGACCCAGUGGGCGAAAGAUGAGAGUGUACUUUUACCAAAAGUUAUCUAAGCCUGAGCACUUGAAGUCUGCACAUAAAUAAAUAAAUGACAAAAGAAAGAAAAAAAGGCC
rnacentral:lncRNA from 1 species